ACGGGGUGCAGCAGGCGCGAAACCUCCACAAUUCACGCAAGUGAGAUGGGGUUACCUCGAGUGCUAUCUGAAGAAGGUGGCUUUUCCAUGGUGUAAUGAGCCGUGGGAAUAAGGGGGGGGCAAGACUGGUGUCAGCCGCCGCGGUAACACCAGCCCCCCGAGUGGUGGGGAUGAUUAUUUGGCCUAAAGCGUCCGUAGCCAGCUUGGUAAAUCUCUCGUUAAAUCCAGCGUCCUAAGCGUUGGGCUGCGAGGGAAACUGCCGAACUAGAGGGUGGGAGAGGUCAGCGGUAUUCCUGGGGUAGGGGCGAAAUCCAUUGAUCCCAGGAGGACCACCAGUGGCGAAGGCUGCUGACUAGAACACGCCUGACGGUGAGGGACGAAAGCUGGGGUAGCGAAUCGGAUUAGAUACCCGAGUAGUCCCAGCCGUAAACGAUGCAGGCUAGGUGUUGGGUCGGCCAUGCGCCGCCUCAGUGCCACAGGGAAGCCAUUAAGCCUGCCGCCUGGGGAGUACGGCCGCAAGGCUGAAACUUAAAGGAAUUGGCGGGGGAGCACCACCAGGCGUGAAGCCUGCGGUUUAAUUGGAGUCAACGCCGGGAACCUUACCGGGAGCGACAGCAGAGUGAAGGCCAGGCUGAAGGUCUUGCCAGACGAGCUGAGAGGAGGUGCAUGGCCGUCGCCAGUUCGUGCCGUGAGGUGUCCUCUUAAGUGAGGUAACGAACGAGACCCGCGCCCCAUGUUGCCAGCAA
rnacentral:rRNA from 1 species